UGGGGAAUAUUGCACAAUGGGCGAAAGCCUGAUGCAGCAACGCCGCGUGAGUGAUGACGGUCUUCGGAUUGUAAAGCUCUGUAUUUGGGGACGAUAAUGACGGUACCCAAGGAGGAAGCCACGGCUAACUACGUGCCAGCAGCCGCGGUAAUACGUAGGUGGCAAGCGUUGUCCGGAUUUACUGGGCGUAAAGGGUGCGUAGGCGGACCUUUAGGUGAGAUGUGAAAUCCCCGAGCUUAACUUGGGGGCUGCAUUUCAAACUGGAGGUCUAGAGUGCAGGAGGGGAGAGUGGAAUUCCUAGUGUAGCGGUGAAAUGCGUAGAGAUUAGGAAGAACACCAGUGGCGAAGGCGACUCUCUGGACUGUAACUGACGCUGAGGCACGAAAGCGUGGGGAGCAAACAG
rnacentral:rRNA from 1 species